CCUACGGGAGGCAGCAGUGAGGAAUAUUGGUCAAUGGACGAGAGUCUGAACCAGCCAAGUAGCGUGAAGGAUGACUGCCCUAUGGGUUGUAAACUUCUUUUAUAAAGGAAUAAAACGAGGCACGUGUGCCUUGUUGCAUGUACUUUAUGAAUAAGGAUCGGCUAACUCCGUGCCAGCAGCCGCGGUAAUACGGAGGAUCCGAGCGUUUUCCGGAUUUUUUGGGUUUAAAGGGAGCGUAGAUGGGUUGUUAAGUCAGUUGUGAAAGUUUGCGGCUCAACCGUAAAAUUGCAGUUGAUACUGGCAGUCUUGAGUACAGUUGAGGUAGGCGGAAUUCGUGGUGUAGCGGUGAAAUGCUUAGAUAUCACGAAGAACCCCGAUUGCGAAGGCAGCUUACUAAACUGUGACUGACAUUGAUGCUCGAAAGUGUGGGUAUCAAACAGGAUUAGAUACCCGAGUAGUC
rnacentral:rRNA from 1 species